AGUUGAGCGGUUGAGACGUCAUAGCUUAGCAGUUGUGAGAUUGAAAACAUUACAUAGCAUGGAUUUUAGCAACAUAUUUGGGAAGAAAUUUGCCGUUUUAGCUCUAUCAAGUUGUUGGCUUUACCUGAAUUCAGACACGAGGAUGUUAAACAAAACAUGGACUAUACUCGAUCCAGACCAUAAAGUCGGAGAGAAAAAUCGGGCCGCUGUGCCAGACACCGCCCUUAUGCGAGAAAAACACGUAACCAUGGAGAAACAGUGGCAAAAACUGGUCACAUGGGCAACGACCCGAUGUAGAUCACUGAGAAUUCCUAAUUAAUAUAUCUGGUUUUGGAUUCUAAUAUAUACUGCCUUCGAAGAUGUAGCGGUUACAAGGAUAGACGAGUGCAGUUUUUUUAUUGGAAAAAAAUUGAAUGAAAUUCAAUCACAAUUUUUUAA